CAGGACGAACGCUGGCGGCGUGCCUAACACAUGCAAGUCGAGCGAGGAGAUCCUUCGGGAUGAUCCUAGCGGCGGACGGGUGAGUAACACGUGGGCAACCUGCCUCAUAGAGAGGAAUAGCCUUCCGAAAGGGAGAUUAAUACCUCAUAACAUUGCAGUUUCGCAUGGAACAGCAAUUAAAGGAGCAAUCCGCUAUGAGAUGGGCCCGCGGCGCAUUAGCUAGUUGGUGAGGUAACGGCUCACCAAGGCGACGAUGCGUAGCCGACCUGAGAGGGUGAUCGGCCACAUUGGGACUGAGACACGGCCCAGACUCCUACGGGAGGCAGCAGUGGGGAAUAUUGCACAAUGGGGGGAAACCCUGAUGCAGCAACGCCGCGUGAGUGGUGACGGCCUUCGGGUUGUAAAGCUCUGUCUUCAGGGACGAUAAUGACGGUACCUGAGGAGGAAGCCACGGCUAACUACGUGCCAGCCGCCGC
rnacentral:rRNA from 1 species